CCAAAAAGGUACUAAAUUUAGUUAACUUAUACCUACUUAAUAACUGUAAUUUCAUCCUCAUGCAACUUCACAAUUUACUUUCAUUCUUGCGUAAUUGUUUUCACGACUCUCUUCUAUUUCACAAACACGGUUCCACUUGAUCCUACUGUAUCACUACAAUUUCAUCCAUAUGUAACUUUACAAUUCUAGCUUUAAAGCAUUUCCACU